UACGGAGGGGGCUAGCGUUGUUCGGAAUUACUGGGCGUAAAGCGCACGUAGGCGGCUUUGUAAGUUAGAGGUGAAAGCCCGGGGCUCAACUCCGGAAUUGCCUUUAAGACUGCAUCGCUAGAAUUGUGGAGAGGUAAGUGGAAUUCCGAGUGUAGAGGUGAAAUUCGUAGAUAUUCGGAAGAACACCAGUGGCGAAGGCGGCUCUCUAGUACGGUACUGACGCUGAGACGCGAAAGCGUGGGGAGCGAACAGG
rnacentral:rRNA from 1 species